GAACUGAGGAGACAACUGGAGGUGGUUUAAAAGGAUGGAGUGCAAAGAAAGAGCCAAUGACACUUAAGUGGCCAAGUAGUUUACAAGCAGUCAUUAAGGAAUCAUCACUAAUAUGGUAUUAUCCUUCCCAUGUGCAAUCACACGAGCAAGUAU